rnacentral:rRNA from 1 species
UACGUAGGGGGCAAGCGUUGUCCGGAUUUAUUGGGCGUAAAGAGCUCGUAGGCGGUCUGUUGCGUCCGCUGUGAAAACCCGGGGCUUAACCCCUGGCUUGCAGUGGAUACGGACAGACUAGAGGUAGGUAGGGGAGAAUGGAAUUCCCGGUGUAGCGGUGAAAUGCGCAGAUAUCGGGAGGAACACCGGUGGCGAAGGCGGUUCUCUGGGCCUUACCUGACGCUGAGGAGCGAAAGCGUGGGGAGCGAACAGG